rnacentral:rRNA from 1 species
GACGAACGUUGGCGGCGUGCUUAAUACAUGCAAGUCAACUGAAGCAGAGGUAGUAAUAUCUCUGUGGAGGUGGCGCACGGGUGAGUAACACGUAGGUAAUCUGCCUUCAGGUCUGACAUAACCCCGAGAAAUCGGGGCUAAUAGCAGAUGAUGCAGCGGCUUGACAUCAAGACAGUUGUUAAAGCUUCGGCGCCUGAAGAUGAGCCUGCGUCUGAUUAGCUAGUUGGCGGAGUAACAGCCCACCAAGGCUACGAUCAGUAGCUGGUCUGAGAGGAUGAUCAGCCACACUGGAACUGAGACACGGUCCAGACUCCUACGGGAGGCAGC